GAUGAACGCUGGCGGCGUGCCUAAUACAUGCAAGUCGAGCGAACGGACGAGAAGCUUUCUUCUCUGAUGUUAGCGGCGGACGGGUGAGUAACAUGUGGAUAACCUACCUAUAAUACUGGGAUAACUUCGUGAAACCGGAGCUAAUACCGGAUAAUAUUUUGAACCGCAUUGUGCAAAAGUUAAUGACGGUUUUUCUGUCACUUAUAGAUGAUUCCGCACUGCCUUAGCUAGUUGGUAAGGUAACGGCUUACCAAGGCAACGAUGCAUAUCCGAGCUGAGAGGGUGAUCGGCCACACUGGAACGGAGACACGGUCCAGACUCCUACGGGAGGCAGCAGUAUGGAAUAUUCGGCAAUGGGCGAAAGCCUGACGGAGCAACGCCGCGUGAGUGAUGAAGGUCUUCGGAUCGUAAAACUCUGUUAUUAGGGAAGAACAUAUGUGUAAGUAAAUGUGCACAUCUUGACGGUACCUAAUCAGAAAGCCACGGCUAACUACGUG
rnacentral:rRNA from 1 species